rfam:Loxodonta africana unplaced genomic scaffold scaffold_2, whole genome shotgun sequence.
ACCCUGGUAGCACAAAUGGUUAAGCAUUUGGCUACUAACCAAAAGGUUGAUGAUUCAAACCCAUCCAGCGGCU